rnacentral:rRNA from 1 species
UACGUAGGGGGCAAGCGUUAUCCGGAUUUACUGGGUGUAAAGGGAGCGUAGACGGCAGGGCAAGUCUGGAGUGAAAGCCCGGGGCUCAACCCCGGGACUGCUUUGGAAACUGCCUAGCUAGAGUGCAGGAGAGGUAAGAGGAAUUCCUAGUGUAGCGGUGAAAUGCGUAGAUAUUAGGAGGAACACCAGCGGCGAAGGCGUCUUACUGGACUGUAACUGACGUUGAGGCUCGAAAGCGUGGGGAGCAAACAGG